rnacentral:rRNA from 1 species
UACGGAGGAGGCAAGCGUUAUCCGGAAUUAUUGGGCGUAAAGCGUCCGUAGGUGGUUUAGUAAGUCUGCUGUUAAAGCGCGGGGCUUAACUCCGUAUCGGCAGUGGAAACUACUAGACUAGAGUGUGGUAGGGGUAGAGGGAAUUCCCAGUGUAGCGGUGAAAUGCGUAGAUAUUGGGAAGAACACCGGUGGCGAAGGCGGCAUCCUGGACCGGCAUUGACGCUGAACAGCGAAAGCUAGGGGAGCAAACGGG